rnacentral:rRNA from 1 species
GCCUAAUACAUGCAAGUCGAACGGGAUUGAGAGCUUGCUUUCAUGAGAGUGGCGUACGGGUGCGUAACGCGUAUGCAACCUACCUUCAUCAGGGGGAUAGCCCGAAGAAAUUCGGAUUAACACCGCAUAAAAACACAGCUUGGCAUCAAGCAAUGUUCAAAUAUUUAUAGGAUGAAGAUGGGCAUGCGUGUCAUUAGCUAGUUGGUAAGGUAACGGCUUACCAAGGCUACGAUGACUAGGGGAUCUGAGAGGAUGACCCCCCACACUGGUACUGAGACACGGACCAGACUCCUACGGGAGGCAGCAGUAAGGAAUAUUGGUCAAUGGAGGCAACUCUGAACCAGCCAUGCCGCGUGCAGGAAGACUGCCUUAUGGGUUGUAAACUGCUUUUAUACGGGAAUAAACCUUAAUUCGUGAAUUAAGCUGAAUGUACCGUAAGAAUAAGGAUCGGCUAACUCCGUGCCAGCAGCCGCGGUAAUACGGAGGAUCCAAGCGUUAUCCGGAUUUAUUGGGUUUAAAGGGAGCGUAGGCGGCUUGUUAAGUCAGGGGUGAAAGACGGUGGCUCAACCAUCGCAGUGCCUUUGAUACUGACGAGCUUGAAUAUAGUUGAGGUAGGCGGAAUGUGACAAGUAGCGGUGAAAUGCAUAGAUAUGUCACAGACACCGAUGCGAAGGCAGCUUACUAAGCUAUUAUUGACGCUGAGGCUCGAAAGCGUGGGGAUCAAACAGGAUUAGAUACCCUGGUAGUCCACGCCCUAAACGAUGAUACUCGAUGU